GACGACAUGGCGGAGUGGUUAACGCGACAGAUUCGAAUGUCUUCGACUAUCUGUUCCUCUCUGAGGGCGCAAGUUCGAAUCUUGCUGUCGUCG